AGUCGCACGGUUAGUCAGAUAGGCAGAUAGUGACGGUUAGUUGGUAUGAAGUCUGUAUCAAUUCUGUAUCGUUAUCGCUCGAGUUCGACGUGCGUCACGUUACGAUCUAAAACGACGGACACUCGACAUCGAAAUAAACAUCGUUGAAGUUAAACACCGGAGUACUUUAAUAACACCCAACACGUCCUUACCACGUCAGAUUGCCCGCCGAAAGUGCACGAACGCCAGUCUACCGAUGACCCUACCAACAUCCGUGCAGUACGCUAUAAUCAUCCUCGAAUCAACGGAAUCAAGGUUUGUAUCGAAGCAAUUUGUUUCAGGGAGGAUGAAAGUUGGAUGUUUGUCGAAAAUACGAUUGCUAAUUUCACGUAGUCGCGAAGGAAACGCGUUAUUUAUGGCUACCCUUAAUAACAUCGUUUCGGCACCGCCCCCACCUAUUGGCCAUCGCGACCAACGAGGGAAAAGGCCAGGCAAAGUGGCGCAACGGAUGUGAUAUAUUAGCCAGUUAAGGGUUAAGAUGUUCACCGUUUCUCGAGUAAUAUCGAACACGACCUCCAGCGUCUGGGAUAACCGGCCCUUGGCGUUACUCUCCUCGUGGGCGGUGUGCAGGUGCCUCUGAUUCCUUUUACAAGUAGUGCCAGACCGCGUAACAACAGCCUACGCCCUUCUUCAUCCUCCAACCAUUGCACCUUCGGGAACAGGCCGACUAACAGCCGCGGCUUUACGAUCGAACAUCGUUUUCUUGCCUCGCGUCGCGUUUUAUGUUCCUUUGUUUCGUCCACUUUCUGCUCUCUCGGCUUUCGUUGUGUCUCGAGCGAAUGCCUCCCGGAGGAAUGUGGUUUUCAUUCAUAGAAACAUUGCUAUAUAGCGCGAUAUUAAUAGGACUGCCGAGACAAAAACGAGUUCCUCGAGCAUGAAAUAAUAGACACGUCGAGGUGUCUGAAUGGAUCGGUAUGCGGUGUUAGGAUGAUCGGUAUGUGAUGUUGCAUAGAUGAAUCUUUGGGGUAUUUGGCAAAGCGAGAUAACCGCGUGAUGUGGGCGAGCGAAGCAAUAUGAAUGAAAUUUUGAUCGACAGGAUAGGUACGCUAAUAUUUUCUACGUUGCUGUCUUUUGUUUAAGACAGUGUCGGGUGAAAUUUUAUCUGUCUAUUGUAUAAUAAAUAAGAAAUUAAAGUGAUAUUUUAGUUGAGUUUAGCGAAUAAGAAUGAAAUUUCUUAUUUAAAUAAGAACGAUGCCAGAAGUAAUUUAUUUAUUAUUUCCUAUUUGCAGAUGAAAUUUGAUUAUUUAUUUGGACUUCAUUGGGAAGCAAACGAUAAUACACGAAUAAAUAAUCUGUAGAAUUUAGAGUUUAGGAUGUUGAAAUAUUGAAAAGAUUGUAUCGAAGAAUGAUAUGAUCAGAGUGAUGAAAUUUUUUAAUAUCCUGGAAUCUACUGUAGAAAGACUUCAAAUGCAACCAAAAGAAGUUAAAAUCUUGUCCAAUGCAACAAUAACGAAGAAAACUACAGAAAAGUACAGCACAAAAUGUAUGAAAACACUGAUAAAUGUGUUCGAUAAAUUCCUUUCAAGGAGAUUUUAUUGUAUCAACGUAUACAUAUGUAGACAUAAUUUAAUUUCCAAGCAUAGGUAUAACGAUGGGUACACUGUUCCCUGUCCCGACCUACGACAAAUCGACGUCAACGACCCGCUGUUAAUCGACUUAACAUGAUAAUAGGCUGAAGAAUCGUGGCACGUUUGCCUCCUCGAGAAAGUUCGAUUCACGUGUGCAAGGAAGUCGAUUACACGAAGAAGCAAGACUCCGACUUGAAGACCUACGACAGAGGAUAGUCCGUCUGUAAUCCGAACUAACACGCCAUCGCUCUUUCACGACCGCGAACAUCUUUCUAUUGCGUGGUCGGUGCCCUCCCUUUCGUAAACUCUAGCCAUUGGUAGACUGCUGAUAUUUAUGCAAAUUCAUAUUUUAAAUAUCAUCUGAGACUAUCUUUAAGUAAUAUUUCUUAUUCUAAGAUAAUAACUAAAAAGAAACAAAAGAAAAUAUGACCCACACGUUUGAAACGUGAAAAUUGUUUAACGUUGAAGAAACUAUUUCAAGAAAAACUCUACAUCUUUAUUUAUAUAUAUCCGUGACCUAUGACCUGGAGGCUGCUAUUACGCAGAAAUAUUCUAAAUAAGGAGAGGAUUGUACCCUUGAAUAUACAUUAUGUUUUGGGUUGCAAGGUCUAGGAACAAAGUAGCCUGUAGCCUCUAGCCAAAGCUGUAAGCUUAACUUUUUUGGUAAUGUCCUUUUGCUGUAAAUAUAUGAACCUGCUCCCUAUCUUUCCAUUGUCUAGUAACACUAAGAGAGUAAGGAUCUGACUCAGCAUAAACUUAUACAUUAUACUUAUAUCUUUAGUUAUUUCAAUAUAUUUUUCUAUUACAAAUUCAUCCACUCGUUCUUCGAUCAGUCAACAUCAACCUCAACAUUUAAUAUAUUGAAUAUAAGGAGGAAUACUCUAGGUAUUUUAGGUAUUUUAUAUGUUUUUGCAUAUUAUUACGUUAGCCAAUAAUUUGGUAGUGGAAUUAAACAGCAGAUACGAUACUUUGUUGUUGGAGACAGAUGAGAAUUUUGAUAAACGUGGGAUUAUGGAACUGUCCGAAAUAUGAGAAAAGAUUAUAAAUCAGAAUGGACAAUACAUUAUUGAACGAAGAUAUUUCCUAUAAUAAGAAGAAUUACAUUUUAUUUACACGUGGAAAACUACACUAAUUUUUCGGCCUAUAUAUAUCCAUCGAGACAACGACAGUGAGAUCCGUUAUAACGAGACGUGAAAAAGUGCACGCGUACCGAGCGAAAAUUCAAAGUC